GGAGGUGUCGCAUAGUUGGUCCAUUGCGCGGGUUUGCUAAACCCGUGAGCUGUAAGGCUCGCGUGGGUUCGAAUCCCACCGCCUCCG
rnacentral:tRNA from 4 species